rnacentral:rRNA from 1 species
AUUGAACGCUGGCGGCAGGCCUAACACAUGCAAGUCGAACGGUAACAGGAAGAAGCUUGCUUCUUUGCUGACGAGUGGCGGACGGGUGAGUAAUGUCUGGGAAACUGCCUGAUGGAGGGGGAUAACUACUGGAAACGGUAGCUAAUACCGCAUAACGUCGCAAGACCAAAGAGGGGGACCUUCGGGCCUCUUGCCAUCGGAUGUGCCCAGAUGGGAUUAGCUAGUAGGUGGGGUAACGGCUCACCUAGGCGACGAUCCCUAGCUGGUCUGAGAGGAUGACCGCCCACAGGGAAACAGAGACCGGGCCGAGACCCAGAGGGGGGGCGAGGGGGGGGAAUAUUGAACGAGGGGCGCAGGCUGAAUGCAGCAGGCCGGUGUGUAGGAGAAAGGCCUUCGGUUUGUAAAGUACUUUAGGGGGGGGGGAAGGAAGUAAAUUUAAUACCUUUGCUAUUGAAGUUACCCGGAAAAAGAAACCCCGAAUAACCCCGUG